rnacentral:tRNA from 1 species
GGAGCGGUAGUUAAGCUGGUUUGAAUGCUGGCCUGUCACGCCGGAGGUCGCGGGUUCGAGUCCCGUCCGCUCCGCCA